GGUUUAGUGUAGGAGUGGGUGCCAGAAGGGCGUUUACAUUGAUUACCUCCAAUACGUAAGAGCCCUGUAAAUGCACUUUCUGGUACGACAUUCCUACAUUAAUUAUCUU
rnacentral:pre_miRNA from 13 species